rnacentral:RNase_P_RNA from 1 species
UGGUGCAGUCGCGAAAACAGGUUCGAAAGAUCGUUUUUGAGGAAAGUCCGAGCUCCCAUGGGCAAGAAUAGCGGAUAACGUCCGCCGGAGGCAACUCUAGGGAAAGUGCAACAGAAAAGAACAGCAGCAAUGCAAAGGUGAAAAGGCGGGGUAAGAGCCCACCGGGGUUAUGGAGACAUAACCCGUCCGUGUAAACCCUAUUCGGAGCAAUACCGCAAAAAAGACAUCAGUGCGCCCAUCACGUCUUAUAGGUAGCUGGAGGUAUAUGGCAACAUAUAUUCGAGAUAGAUGACUGCAACGGGAUUUUCCCGGACAGAACUCGGCUUAUAAGCUUG